GCUCUGACCACUUUACGUGGGUCUGUUCUCAUUAUCUCAGGCUCCUCAGGAAAAUCUUUAUUGACCUGAUUUCCAUUGGUCAUUGUGGAGUUUACUUUUUUAAUCUUUGAAACUAGCAGCAUUGCCUCGCAGAAAAGCUGGGUCCACAGAGGUCCAGAAUGAAUCUCUACUCUCCCUGACUCCAGGAGACAAAAAGAAGAACAUGGAUCUCCAUACAGAAAUGACCUCCAUGAGGUCUGACACUCUCCAGCAUUGCAGCUGAGGAGAAAGCUUGAGGGAGAAUCCCAGAGCAGCAGAAAUAGCAGUGCUUUAUCUGAAGUCUACAAAACCCAACAAUGCAUUCUUGGAAGACAAGAGCCAUGCUCGGCACAGGGAAGCUGGAGGUCAAAGCUCAUGGGGUGGCCCUCCUUCCAUCAGCUGUGGUGCUGAGACAACCUCUUAGUCUCUGUGGACCUCAGGUUCCUCUUCAGUGAGAUCUGGAGCUGAGUCCACAUCCUGAGAACCCAGAACUGAAGGUGCAGCUGAAGGAAGAUGAGCAGCUCUCUGGGACGUGAGAAUGACCCAGAGAAUGACAAGGUAAUGUUAGGGUGAAACCAAGUGUGGGUGAGAUGAAGGACACAUUGUGUCGGAAACCUCAGGGGAUACUCAGAAAUGCCUACUCCACUGUCCAGCCCCUGAAGGAGCUGCCUUCCAUGAGCACUGAGGUCAGGAGAGAAACUGACUCCACAGUGAACCUGUGCACCUGGCCAGGGAGAUCCCUGGAUGGAAUCAGAGCAGGUUUAUGCUGAACACAAGCUUUCCAUGCAAACUAGAGAUCCUGGUAACUUCAG